rnacentral:rRNA from 1 species
CCACGCCGUAAGCCCAAGGUUUCCUGUUCAACGUUCAUCGGAGCAGGGUGAGUCGGCCCCUAAGGCGAGGCAGAGAUGCGUAGCUGAUGGGAAGCAGGUUAAUAUUCCUGCACCGUCGUAUGAUGCGAUGGGGGGACGGAUCGCGGAAGGUUGUCUGCCUGUUGGAAUAGGCAGUUUCUGGUUCAUAGAAGGCGCUUAGGCAAAUCCGGGCGCGCAAUUCAAGGGACUGGGACGAGCGAACUUGUUCGUGAAGCAAUCGGAAGUGGUUCCAAGAAAAGCCUCUAAGCUUCAGUCAUACGAGACCGUACCGCAAACCGACACAGGUGGGCGAGAUGAGUAUUCUAAGGCGCUUGAGAGAACUCGGGAGAAGGAACUCGGCAAAUUGGUACCGUAACUUCGGGAAAAGGUACGCCCUUGUAGUUUGACCACUUUACUGUGGAAGGAUGAACGGGUUGCAAUAAACUGGUGGCUGCGACUGUUUAAUAAAAACACAGCACUCUGCAAACACGAAAGUGGACGUAUAGGGUGUGACGCCUGCCCGGUGCUGGAAGAUUAAAUGAUGGGGUGCAAGCUCUUGAUUGAAGUCCCAGUAAACGGCGGCCGUAACUAUAACGGUCCUAAGGUAGCGAAAUUCCUUGUCGGGUAAGUUCCGACCUGCACGAAUGGCGUAACGAUGGCCACACUGUCUCCUCCCGAGACUCAGCGAAGUUGAAAUGUUUGUGAUGAUGCAAUCUACCCGCGGCUAGACGGAAAGACCCCAUGAACCUUUACUGUAGCUUUGCAUUGGACUUUGAACCAAUCUGUGUAGGAUAGGUGGGAGGCUUUGAAGCGGGGACGCCAGUCUUCGUGGAGCCAACCUUGAAAUACCACCCUGGUUUGUUUGAGGUUCUAACCUUGGUCCGUUAUCCGGAUCGGGGACAGUGCAUGGUAGGCAGUUUGACUGGGGCGGUCUCCUCCUAAAGUGUAACGGAGGAGUUCGAAGGUACGCUAGAUACGGUCGGACAUCGUGUUGAUAGUGCAAUGGCAUAAGCGUGCUUAACUGCGAGACUGACAAGUCGAGCAGGUACGAAAGUAGGACAUAGUGAUCCGGUGGUUCUGUAUGGAAGGGCCAUCGCUCAACGGAUAAAAGGUACUCUGGGGAUAACAGGCUGAUUCCUCCCAAGAGUUCAUAUCGACGGGGGAGUUUGGCACCUCGAUGUCGGCUCAUCACAUCCUGGGGCUGUAGCCGGUCCCAAGGGUAUGGCUGUUCGCCAUUUAAAGUGGUACGUGAGCUGGGUUUAAAACGUCGUGAGACAGUUUGGUCCCUAUCUGCCGUGGGCGUUGGAAAUUUGAAGGGGGCUGCUCCUAGUACGAGAGGACCGGAGUGGACAGACCUCUGGUGUACCGGUUGUCACGCCAGUGGCAUUGCCGGGUAGCUAAGUCUGGAAGAGAUAACCGCUGAAAGCAUCUAAGCGGGAAACUUGCCUUGAGAUGAGAUUUCCCAGAGCCUUGAGCUCUUUGAAGGGUCGUUCGAGACCAGGACGUUGAUAGGCUGGGUGUGGAAGUGCAGUAAUGCAUUAAGCUAACCAGUACUAAUUGCCCGUACGGCUUGUCCCUAUAACCUUAGCAGGUUGUA